rnacentral:rRNA from 1 species
UGGGGGAUAUUGCACAAUGGGCGCAAGCCUGAUGCAGCGACGCCGCGUGGGGGAUGAAGGCCUUCGGGUUGUAAACUUCUUUUGCUCUGAACAAGGCGCACUUUGGGGUGUGUUGAGUGUAGGGGUUGAUUAGCGCCGGCUAACUACGUGCCAGCAGCCGCGGUAAUACGUAGGGCGCGAGCGUUGUCCGGAAUUAUUGGGCGUAAAGGGCUUGUAGGUGGCUGGUUGCGUCUGUCGUGAAAGCUCAUGGCUUAACUGUGGGUUUGCGGUGGGUACGGGCUGGCUUGAGGGCAGUAGGGGAGGCUGGAAUUCCUGGUGUAGCGGUGGAAUGCGCAGAUAUCAGGAGGAAUACCGGUGGCGAAGGCGGGUCUCUGGGCUGUUACUGACACUGAGGAGCGAAAGCAUGGGGAGCGAACAGG